UGCCUGUUCGAGCGUCAUUAUGACCAAUCACGCAAGUGGUAUUGGGGCUUGCCAGCUUUCGGCAUCCCUUAAAAACAGUGGCGGUGCCACAGGCUCUCAGCGUAGUAAUUAUUCCGCUCUUGAGUCCUGGACGUACUUGCCAAAACCCCAACUUUCUUAAGGUUGACCUCGGAUCAGGUAGGGAUACCCGCUGAACUUAA
rnacentral:misc_RNA from 1 species